rnacentral:misc_RNA from 1 species
GGAUUGAACAGCAAGAAUGUAUCUGGCUCGGGAGAAAGGCAUAACAAACCAUUGCAAGAACCGAAGUACGUGACUUCAUCAUAGCUGUUCUUCUCGACUGGAAAAUCAAGCUCCUCUGCAAUUGCAUCAUUGUUUUCUUCAUAUCGUACAGAGUAAAAUGAGCGAAGAGAAGGAGAUGUGAGAAUAAGUCUCUCCCUCUCUCAUAGUUGAAAUUGUUGUCUGUGACUGCCAGAUUGAGGUGAGUUCUAAUGAAUUGUGGGUCAAAGAUUAUAGAACACCAUGAUUUGCACACACAUUUGAAUCGAAGUAGAGACUUCACUGGUAGCCUUGAGAGUAUGUGGAUUAUGAUAUCAGGAGGAAGAUUACCCAUCAUUGUUCAUCUCAGAUCAAUAGCAUCAUGAUCUCGUAUAUAGACAAGAAUUUCCCAUUACAACAUUGGUAGAACAGAAC